rnacentral:rRNA from 1 species
AUUGAACGCUGGCGGCAGGCCUAACACAUGCAAGUCGAGCGGGGUUUUCGGACCUAGCGGCGGACGGGGGAGUAAUGCGUAGGAAGCUGCCCGAUAGAGGGGGAUACCAGUUGGAAACGACUGUUAAUACCGCAUAAUGUCUACGGACCAAAGUGUGGGACCUUCGGGCCACAUGCUAUCGGAUGCGCCUACGUGGGAUUAGCUAGUUGGUGAGGUAAUGGCUCACCAAGGCGACGAUCUCUAGCUGGUUUGAGAGGAUGAUCAGCCACACGGGAACUGAGACACGGUCCAGACUCCUACGGGAGGCAGCAGUGGGGAAUAUUGGACAAUGGGCGCAAGCCUGUUCCAGCCAUGCCGCGUGUGUGAAGAAGGCCUUCGGGUUGUAAAGCACUUUCAGCGAGGAGGAAGGGUGGUGUGUUAAUAGCACAUCAUUUUGACGUUACUCGCAGAAGAAGCACCGGCUAACUCUGUGCCAGCCGCCGCCGUAACAC